rnacentral:rRNA from 1 species
UACGAGGGGUGCAAGCGUUAUCCGGAUUUACUGGGCGUAAAGGGUGUGUAGGGGGUUUUGUUAGUCCUCCGUUAAAUCUUCCCGCUUAACGGGAAAACCGCGGAGGAAACGGCAAAACUUGAGGGUGCGAGAGGCAAGCAGAACUCACGGUGUAGGGGUGAAAUCCGUUGAUAUCGUGGGGAAUACCAAAGGCGAAGGCAGCUUGCUGGAGCACUUCUGACCCUGAAACACGAAAGCGUGGGGAUCAAAAAGG